GACGUAGGGCGCGAGCGUUGUCCGGAUUUAUUGGGCGUAAAGCGCGCGUAGGCGGCUUGUUAAGUCAAAUGUGAAAUCCCCGAGCUUAACUUGGGCAUUGCAUUCGAUACUGGCAAGCUAGAGUAUGGGAGAGGAAGGUAGAAUUCCAGGUGUAGCGGUGAAAUGCGUAGAGAUCUGGAGGAAUACCGAUGGCGAAGGCAGCCUUCUGGCCUAAUACUGACGCUGAGGUGCGAAAGCAUGGGGAGCAAACAGG
rnacentral:rRNA from 1 species